GGGGAAUUUUGGACAAUGGGGGCAACCCUGAUCCAGCCAUGCCGCGUGAGUGAAGAAGGCCUUCGGGUUGUAAAGCUCUUUCGGCCGGGAAGAAAUCGUGCAGGCUAAUACCCUGUAUGGAUGACGGUACCGGAAUAAGAAGCACCGGCUAACUACGUGCCAGCAGCCGCGGUAAUACGUAGGGUGCGAGCGUUAAUCGGAAUUACUGGGCGUAAAGCGUGCGCAGGCGGUUUGGUAAGACAGGUGUGAAAUCCCCGGGCUUAACCGUGGAGGGUCAUUGGAAACUGGGAGACUUGAGUGCAGAAGAGGAAAGUGGAAUUCCAAGUGUAGCGGUGAAAUGCGUAGAGAUUUGGAGGAACACCAGUGGCGAAGGCGACUUUCUGGUCUGCAACUGACGCUGAGGCGCGAAAGCAUGGGGAGCAAACA
rnacentral:rRNA from 1 species